GAUGAACGCUGGCGGCGUGCUUAACACAUGCAAGUCGAACGGAAAGGCUCCUGCUUGCAGGGGUACUCGAGUGGCGAACGGGUGAGUAACACGUGGGUGAUCUGCCCUGCACUUCGGGAUAAGCCUGGGAAACUGGGUCUAAUACCGGAUAGGACCACAUUUUGGAUGGUGUGGUGGAAAGUUUUUCGGUGUGGGAUGAGCUCGCGGCCUAUCAGCUUGUUGGUGGGGUAAUGGCCUACCAAGGCGUCGACGGGUAGCCGGCCUGAGAGGGUGUACGGCCACAUUGGGACUGAGAUGCGGCCCAGACUCCUACGGGAGGCAGCAGUGGGGAAUAUUGCACAAUGGGCGCAAGCCUGAUGCGGCGACGCCGCGUGGGGGAUGACGGCCUUCGGGUUGUAAACUCCUUUCGCUAGGGACGAAGCGCAAGUGACGGUACCUGGAGAAGAAGCACCGGCUAACUACGUG
rnacentral:rRNA from 1 species